GAUGAACGCUGGCGGCGUGCCUAAUACAUGCAAGUCGAGCGAACGGACGAGAAGCUUGCUUCUCUGAUGUUAGCGGCGGACGGGUGAGUAACACGUGGAUAACCUACCUAUAAGACUGGGAUAACUUCGGGAAACCGGAGCUAAUACCGGCUAAUAUUUUGAACCGCAUGGUUCAAAAGUGAAAGACGGUCUUGCUGUCACUUAUAGAUGGAUCCGCGCUGCAUUAGCUAGUUGGUAAGGUAACGGCUUACCAAGGCAACGAUGCAUAGCCGACCUGAGAGGAUGAUCGGCCACACUGGAACUGAGACACGGUCCAGACUCCUACGGGAGGCAGCAGUAGGGAAUAUUCCGCAAUGGGCGAAAGCCUGACGGAGCAACGCCGCGUGAGUGAUGAAGGUCUUCGGAUCGUAAAACUCUGUUAUUAGGGAAGAAAAUAUGUGUAAGUAACUGUGCACAUCUUGACGGUACCUAAUCAGAAAGCCACGGCUAACUACGUG
rnacentral:rRNA from 1 species